UGUAACGAGCGCUUACCUUUCCCCGCCGGUCCCACGCAGCGCGGGGUCCUCCUCCAAUACUUCCGGGGGGCGGCUCAGCUCUUCUGACGCCGGCCGCUCGGAACACGCCCACCUUUAUGAUGCGACGCAUGCGCGCCGACGUCAGAGGGAAAAUGCCGCCAAAAUUCAAACGUGGCCACGCUCCCGGACUUUUUGGGGGCGUGGCUUCAAAAUUAAAGUCAAAGAACCCACACUAUAAAAGGGCUAUCAUGACACUUGUCAGAUGCCCUAGUGUGGUUCUUGUUUA